rnacentral:rRNA from 1 species
UUAAGCGACUAAGCGUACACGGUGGAUGCCCUGGCAGUCAGAGGCGAUGAAGGACGUGCUAAUCUGCGAAAAGCGCCGGCGAGGUGAUAUGAACCUUUGACCCGGCGAUGUCCGAAUGGGGAAACCCAGUGUGUUCCGACACACUAUCGUUAACUGAAUACAUAGGUUAACGAGGCGAACCGGGGGAACUGAAACAUCUAAGUACCCCGAGGAAAAGAAAUCAACCGAGAUUCCCCCAGUAGCGGCGAGCGAACGGGGAGCAGCCCAGAGUCUGAAUCAGCUUGUGUGUUAGUGGAAGCGUCUGGAAAGUCGCACGGUACAGGGUGACAGUCCCGUACACGAAAAUGCACAGGUUGUGAACUCGAAGAGUAGGGCGGGACACGUGGUAUCCUGUCUGAAUAUGGGGGGACCAUCCUCCAAGGCUAAAUACUCCUGACUGACCGAUAGUGAACCAGUACCGUGAGGGAAAGGCGAAAAGAACCCCGGCGAGGGGAGUGAAAAAGAACCUGAAACCGUGUACGUACAAGCAGUGGGAGCACCUUCGUGGUGUGACUGCGUACCUUUUGUAUAAUGGGUCAGCGACUUAUAUUCUGUAGCAAGGUUAACCGUAUAGGGGAGCCGAAGGGAAACCGAGUCUUAACUGGGCGUUAAGUUGCAGGGUAUAGACCCGAAACCCGGUGAUCUAGCCAUGGGCAGGUUGAAGGUUGGGUAACACUAACUGGAGGACCGAACCGACUAAUGUUGAAAAAUUAGCGGAUGACUUGUGGCUGGGGGUGAAAGGCCAAUCAAACCGGGAGAUAGCUGGUUCUCCCCGAAAGCUAUUUAGGUAGCGCCUCGUGAACUCAUCUUCGGGGGUAGAGCACUGUUUCGGCUAGGGGGCCAUCCCGGCUUACCAACCCGAUGCAAACUACGAAUACCGAAGAAUGUUAUCACGGGAGACACACGGCGGGUGCUAACGUCCGUCGUGAAGAGGGAAACAACCCAGACCGCCAGCUAAGGUCCCAAAGUCAUGGUUAAGUGGGAAACGAUGUGGGAAGGCACAGACAGCCAGGAUGUUGGCUUAGAAGCAGCCAUCAUUUAAAGAAAGCGUAAUAGCUCACUGGUCGAGUCGGCCUGCGCGGAAGAUGUAACGGGGCUAAACCAUGCACCGAAGCUGCGGCAGCGACGCGUAUGCGUUGUUGGGUAGGGGAGCGUUCUGUAAGCCGUUGAAGGUGUGCUGUGAGGCAUGCUGGAGGUAUCAGAAGUGCGAAUGCUGACAUAAGUAACGAUAAAGCGGGUGAAAAGCCCGCUCGCCGGAAGACCAAGGGUUCCUGUCCAACGUUAAUCGGGGCAGGGUGAGUCGACCCCUAAGGCGAGGCCGAAAGGCGUAGUCGAUGGGAAACAGGUUAAUAUUCCUGUACUUGGUGUUACUGCGAAGGGGGGACGGAGAAGGCUAUGUUAGCCGGGCGACGGUUGUCCCGGUUUAAGCAUGUAGGCGGAGGUUCCAGGUAAAUCCGGUACCUUUUAACGCUGAGGUGUGAUGACGAGGCACUACGGUGCUGAAGUAACAAAUGCCCUGCUUCCAGGAAAAGCCUCUAAGCAUCAGGUAACACGAAAUCGUACCCCAAACCGACACAGGUGGUCAGGUAGAGAAUACCAAGGCGCUUGAGAGAACUCGGGUGAAGGAACUAGGCAAAAUGGUGCCGUAACUUCGGGAGAAGGCACGCUGAUAUGUAGGUGAAGCCCCUGCGGGUGGAGCUGAAAUCAGUCGAAGAUACCAGCUGGCUGCAACUGUUUAUUAAAAACACAGCACUGUGCAAACACGAAAGUGGACGUAUACGGUGUGACGCCUGCCCGGUGCCGGAAGGUUAAUUGAUGGGGUUAGCGGCAACGCGAAGCUCUUGAUCGAAGCCCCGGUAAACGGCGGCCGUAACUAUAACGGUCCUAAGGUAGCGAAAUUCCUUGUCGGGUAAGUUCCGACCUGCACGAAUGGCGUAAUGAUGGCCAGGCUGUCUCCACCCGAGACUCAGUGAAAUUGAACUCGCUGUGAAGAUGCAGUGUACCCGCGGCAAGACGGAAAGACCCCGUGAACCUUUACUAUAGCUUGACACUGAACACUGGUCCUUGAUGUGUAGGAUAGGUGGGAGGCUUUGAAGCGUGGACGCCAGUCUGCGUGGAGCCAUCCUUGAAAUACCACCCUUUAAUGGCUGGUGUUCUAACGUAGACCCGUAAUCCGGGUUGCGGACAGUGUCUGGUGGGUAGUUUGACUGGGGCGGUCUCCUCCCAAAGAGUAACGGAGGAGCACGAAGGUUAGCUAAUCCUGGUCGGACAUCAGGAGGUUAGUGCAAUGGCAUAAGCUAGCUUGACUGCGAGAGUGACGGCUCGAGCAGGUGCGAAAGCAGGUCAUAGUGAUCCGGUGGUUCUGAAUGGAAGGGCCAUCGCUCAACGGAUAAAAGGUACUCCGGGGAUAACAGGCUGAUACCGCCCAAGAGUUCAUAUCGACGGCGGUGUUUGGCACCUCGAUGUCGGCUCAUCACAUCCUGGGGCUGAAGUAGGUCCCAAGGGUAUGGCUGUUCGCCAUUUAAAGUGGUACGCGAGCUGGGUUUAGAACGUCGUGAGACAGUUCGGUCCCUAUCUGCCGUGGGCGCUGGAGAAUUGAGGGGGGCUGCUCCUAGUACGAGAGGACCGGAGUGGACGCAUCACUGGUGUUCGGGUUGUCAUGCCAAUGGCACUGCCCGGUAGCUAAAUGCGGAAAAGAUAAGUGCUGAAAGCAUCUAAGCACGAAACUUGCCCCGAGAUGAGUUCUCCCUGACUCCUUGAGAGUCCUGAAGGAACGUUGAAGACGACGACGUUGAUAGGUCGGGUGUGUAAGCGCAGCGAUGCGUUGAGCUAACCGAUACUAAUGAACCGUGAGGCUUAACCUU